CAGCAGCCACGGGAAUACGUAUGUCGCGAGCGUUAUCCGGAAUUAUUGGGCAUAAAGGGCAUCUAGGCGGCCGGAUAAGUCUGGGGUGAAAACUUGCGGCUCAACCGCAAGCCUGCCCUGGAAACUAUGUGGCUAGAGUACUGGAGAGGUGGACGGAACUGCACGAGUAGAGGUGAAAUUCGUAGAUAUGUGCAGGAAUGCCGAUGAUGAAGAUAGUUCACUGGACGGUAACUGACGCUGAAGUGCGAAAGCUAGGGGAGCAAACAGGAUUAGAUACCCCUGUAGUCCCUGUCUCUUAUAC
rnacentral:rRNA from 1 species